rnacentral:sRNA from 1 species
GGGCGCUGCUGCUGUGGCUCGCCUGGCUCGGCCUGCAGGCGGCGCUCUACCUACUGCCGGCGCGCAAGGUGGCCGAGGGGCAGGAAUUGAAGGACAAGAGUCGCCUGCGCUAUCCUAUUAACGGCUUCCAGGCCCUGGUGCUGACAGCCCUGUUGGUGGGGCUGGGGAUGUCAGCGGGGCUGCCUCUGGGGGCGCUCCCGGAAAUGCUCCUGCCCUUGGCGUUUGUCGCCACCCUCACCGCUUUCAUCUUCAGCCUCUUUCUCUACAUGAAGGCGCAGGUAGCCCCAGUUUCGGCCCUGGCACCUGGGGGGAACUCAGGUCCUCAUCAACCUGGCCCUGUUGAUGAAGGAGGCAGAGCUUCAGGGCAGUCCCUCACUGGCCAUGUGGCUGGUCAAUGGCUUCCAGUUGCUCUACGUGGGUGAUGCCCUCUGGCACGAGGUGAGGCUGGACUGGACGAGGGUGGGUGUCUGAGGGCUGCAUAGGGACUAAGCCAGUGUGUCUGGGUCUUGUCCCUGCAGGAGGCCAUCCUCACCACCAUGGAUAUCACACAUGACGGGUUUGGCUUCAUGCUGGCGUUUGGGGACAUAGCCUGGGUGCCCUUCACCUACAG